UGCAAGUCGAGCGGACAGAUGGGAGCUUGCUCCCUGAUGUUAGCGGCGGACGGGUGAGUAACACGUGGGUAACCUGCCUGUAAGACUGGGAUAACUCCGGGAAACCGGGGCUAAUACCGGAUGCUUGUUUGAACCGCAUGGUUCAAACAUAAAAGGUGGCUUCGGCUACCACUUACAGAUGGACCCGCGGCGCAUUAGCUAGUUGGUGAGGUAACGGCUCACCAAGGCAACGAUGCGUAGCCGACCUGAGAGGGUGAUCGGCCACACUGGGACUGAGACACGGCCCAGACUCCUACGGGAGGCAGCAGUAGGGAAUCUUCCGCAAUGGACGAAAGUCUGACGGAGCAACGCCGCGUGAGUGAUGAAGGUUUUCGGAUCGUAAAGCUCUGUUGUUAGGGAAGAACAAGUACCGUUCGAAUAGGGCGGUACCUUGACGGUACCUAACCAGAAAGCCACGGCUAACUACGUGCCAGCAGCCGCGGUAAUACGUAGGUGGCAAGCGUUGUCCGGAAUUAUUGGGCGUAAAGGGCUCGCAGGCGGUUCCUUAAGUCUGAUGUGAAAGCCCCCGGCUCAACCGGGGAGGGUCAUUGGAAACUGGGGAACUUGAGUGCAGAAGAGGAGAGUGGAAUUCCACGUGUAGCGGUGAAAUGCGUAGAGAUGUGGAGGAACACCAGUGGCGAAGGCGACUCUCUGGUCUGUAACUGACGCUGAGGAGCGAAAGCGUGGGGAGCGAACAGGAUUAGAUACCCUGGUAGUCCACGCCGUAAACGAUGAGUGCUAAGUGUUAGGGGGUUUCCGCCCCUUANUGCUGCAGCUAACGCAUUAAGCACUCCGCCUGGGGAGUACGGUCGCAAGACUGAAACUCAAAGGAAUUGACGGGGGCCCGCACAAGCGGGGGAGCAUGUGGUUUAAUUCGAAGCAACGCGAAAACCUUACCGGGUCUUGACUUCCUCUGACACCCUAGAAAA
rnacentral:rRNA from 1 species